rnacentral:lncRNA from 1 species
AGCAGCAUAAGCCAGGCUCUAUGGAAUGUUGGGUGAGCUGUUUGAGGAACUCCAAGGCCUGUCCCACAGUCUUCCAGCCUCCGACUCUCCUGCCCUCAGCGUGGUCAGCAGAAGUCCCACUGGUUUUUUUGGUUGUUUUUUUUUAAGGUUUUUUUGUUUUUGUUUUUGUUUUUUUUUCUCAUUCCUGUCUUGGGAGCUUUCCCCAACCAGGAGAGUGAAGAUGGGCGGAGCUGUCACACCAACUGUUAGCCUGCCUUGGCUGAGAGGAGAGGAGGCGAGGAGGGAACGACCACCCAGCUUUAGUCGUUUUAAAACAGUUCCUGACCCUAGGAGAAGGGAAAUGGAGAUGAAGACUCAAUUGACUUGGCUUCCCUCCCUCCCAGUGCUGAUUUCCUGUGGACCAGAUUCCAGCACAGUGGAGGGCCAGAGCUCAGGGAACAGACCCAGCAGCACAGCAAGUCUCCAAGGAAAGCUCUAG